GAUGAACGCUGGCGGCGUGCCUAAUACAUGCAAGUCGAACGCUGGAACUCUAGCUUGCUAGAUUGAAGGAGUGGCGAACGGGUGAGUAAUACAUAAGCAACCUACCCACGACGACUGGGAUAAUCUCUGGAAACGGGGACUAAUACCGGAAAGGUAAUCGGAAGGCAUCUUCUGAUUAUUAAAUGUUAACAGCACUGGUGGAUGGGCUUAUGGCGCAUUUGUUAGUUGGUGUGGUAACGGCCCACCAGGACGAUGAUGCGUAGCCGGCCGGAGGGGGGGAGGGGCGACAUGGGGACCGGGACACUGGCCAGAGACCUACGGCAGGCAGCAGUAGGGAAUUCUGGGGAAGGGAAUAUACCAUGACGGAGCAACGCCGGGUGAAUGAUGGCGGCGUGCGGGAUGUAGAGCUCUGUUGUAAGGGAGGAACGGUAGUUAGAGAAUAUGUGAGUGACGGUACCUGAUCAAAAAGCACCGGCUAACUACGUG
rnacentral:rRNA from 1 species